rnacentral:rRNA from 1 species
UACGAAGGGGGCGAGCGUUGUUCGGAUUUACUGGGCGUAAAGGGUGCGUAGGUGGUGAGGUAAGUCUGAUGUGAAAUCUCCGAGCUUAACUCGGAAAUGGCAUUGGAAACUACCUUGCUAGAGGGUUGGAGGGGGGACUGGAAUACUUGGUGUAGCAGUGAAAUGCGUAGAUAUUGGGAAGAACACCAGAGGCGAAGGCGGGUUGCUGGGCCGACACUGACGCUGAGGCGCGAAAGCCAGGGGAGCAAACGGG